UUAUUUCCAAAACAAAAAAAAUAGUGCUUUACAAAAUUACAGAAAAAUAAUCUACAACAAAAAAAUCUACAGAUUAAAUUAUACAGCCAAAACGAGACCUCUCUCUCUUCUCUAGAGAUAGAAAAAUUCUCUCAAAACCCUUGUUCACCGAUUCAUAUCUUUCACAAGGGUUAGAGAUCAAGGUUCUUCUUCUUUUUGUUCGAUCUUCGGAUCGAUUCUUUUGUUUCGCUAUGGCGAUUUUCCUUUUCGCAUAGACGACUUUUCUUUUCGCAUAUGUUGAACAAAUAAAUGUACCGGCUUCACCGGAGUUGUUUGCUUGUAACUUAUGCCCCUUUCACAAAUCAUCGAGAUCCCAUGUCGUUUGAUUUGGUUCUUCUUCUUUACCGAUUACAGACAUAUUCCUUUUAUAAAGGAGUCAAUCUUCAUUCAUCCUAUUGGAUCCGAGAUCAGUGUUAGAGUGAAGUAUCCUCGAAGGAAAGGGAGACUGUGAUGGUGAUUUUACCUUGGUUGAUGUAAGGAGGGUCCAGCAGAGUCGGCAUCGUUGUAUGGUCUGACAAAGAAUCCUCACUAAAUCAAUUGAGUUUCUUCUUUGUUGUUAUUAAUUGGUAUGGAUAGGACCUCUGGAUUCAAACAACGGCUAUGGUGAAAGAAUAGAGGUUAAGGAGUACCCGUAGAAGGCUUUGUGGCGAAGAAGAUGAUAUACAGACGGUGGUUUGACGUUGAGAACUGCCGGCGAUGGAAAGCUAUGUUUUGCAUGCUUCAUUUAGCCACGUUGCUUGUUCUUUUGUUUAGUGCUUACACGUGUAAAAUAUUUUGAUUAUGUGUUGUACUCCUAUGCUUUUGGGCUUAUGAAAUGCAAAGACGACAAAAAAAAAUUAUACAGCCAAAAACAUAAAUCUACAGUUCAUUCCAAUCAUCCCUAAUCCCUAAGAAGAAAAAAUAAGUCCAAAACCUUACUGAUUCCCAUUAUAUUGUAUCUGAC
rnacentral:lncRNA from 1 species